GACGAACGCUGGCGGCGUGCUUAACACAUGCAAGUCGAACGGAAAGGCCCUGCUUUUGUGGGGUGCUCGAGUGGCGAACGGGUGAGUAACACGUGAGUAACCUGCCCUUGACUUUUGGAUAACUUCAGGAAACUGGGGCUAAUACCGGAUAGGAGCUCCUGCUGCAUGGUGGGGGUUGGAAAGUUUCGGCGGUUGGGGAUGGACUCGCGGCUUAUCAGCUUGUUGGUGGGGUAGUGGCUUACCAAGGCUUUGACGGGUAGCCGGCCUGGGAGGGUGACCGGCAAAAUGGGGAUGAGGCACGGCCCAGAAACCGGAGGGGGGGAGGAGGGGGGAAAAAUGAAAAAAGGGGGGAAGGCCGAAGGAGGAAAGGCGGGGGAGGGAAGAAGGGCCUUGGGGUGGAAAACCGUUUUAGCAGGGAAGAAAGGAAAGGGAAGGGAAAUGGAGAAAAAAGCCCGGCUAAAUAAGGU
rnacentral:rRNA from 1 species